rnacentral:rRNA from 1 species
UAGGGAAUCUUCCACAAUGGACGCAAGUCUGAUGGAGCAACGCCGCGUGAGUGAAGAAGGCUUUCGGGUCGUAAAACUCUGUUAUUGAAGAAGAACGUGUGUGACAGUAACUGGUCAUGCAGUGACGGUAUUCAAUCAGAAAGUCACGGCUAACUACGUGCCAGCAGCCGCGGUAAUACGUAGGUGGCAAGCGUUGUCCGGAUUUAUUGGGCGUAAAGCGAGUGCAGGCGGUCUUUUAAGUCUGAUGUGAAAGCCUUCGGCUUAACCGAAGAAGGGCAUCGGAAACUGGGAGACUUGAGUGCAGAAGAGGAGAGUGGAACUCCAUGUGUAGCGGUGAAAUGCGUAGAUAUAUGGAAGAACACCAGUGGCGAAGGCGGCUCUCUGGUCUGUAACUGACGCUGAGGCUCGAAAGCGUGGGUAGCAAAUCAGGAUUAGAUACCCUGGUAGUCCACGCCGUAA